GGGCUACGUUCAUAUCUUGGCUUGUCAUUAUUAUCUAUUUACUGUGAACUGUAUUAUUAUUUGACGUUUGAGGGAUGUUCCAAUGUUAUAAGGAUAGACAUUGGAGAUGUUAACCGAGUCAUAAUCAGGUUUAGGCCUGGUAUCCUAUUAUUAUUUACCAAAUGAAUUCAGAAUUAAUAUUGUAACAUAGACCUAAAAAAUCUAUAAAACAACUUUUAACAACGGAUCUCUUGGUUCUCGCAUCGAUGAAGAACGUAGCAAAGUGCGAUAACUAGUGUGAAUUGCAUAUUCAGUGAAUCAUCGAGUCUUUGAACGCAACUUGCGCUCAUUGGUAUUCCAAUGAGCACGCCUGUUUCAGUAUCAAAACAAACCCUCUAUCCAACUUUUGUUGUAUAGGAUUAUUGGGGGCCUCUCGAUCUGUAUAGAUCUUGAAACCCUUGAAAUUUACUAAGGCCUGAACUUGUUUAAUGCCUGAACUUUUUUUUAAUAUAAAGGAAAGCUCUUGUAAUUGACUUUGAUGGGGCCUCCCAAAUAAAUCUUUUUUAAAUUUGAUCUGAAAUCAGGUGGGAUUACCCGCUGAACUUAAGCAUAUCAAUAAGCGGAGGA
rnacentral:sRNA from 1 species